rnacentral:lncRNA from 1 species
ACACAAUAUACCCAAGAUGGUCAGGGCUUGGUUUUACACAUUUUAGGAAGGCAUGAGACAUCAAUCAAUAUAUAAGAAGUACAUUAGUUCUGUGUCCAGAAAGGAUGAGACAACUCAAAGCAAGCCCCACUCCCACCACUACUAGAGGCUUACAAGUCACAGAUGCUUUUACACAAUGCUGAUCAAUCACAGUAUGUGAGUGUCCAAAUAUGUGUACCCUGUCUUGGCCAAUGUACUCUCCUACCUUCUUCCUUCCAUGUUGGAGUGUAUUGGCUGAAAAAGAUAUGAAGCUACGUGUCUCUUUGGGAUGGAGCGGAGAUCCUGUCUAUCCUAAUGUGUCCUACAGAAAUACUCCUUGUUGUCUGCAAUCAAGUGGUUUUUCUCACACAGCACAUUUUUAAAUUAAGACCAUUGCUGGCACAUUUUGCAUUACUGGCAUUGUUUGGAAGCAUAAUCCUGAAGCAUGUUUGUGGACACCUUAAACCACAAGUCCCAUCUCAGACAAUCAAUGCCUUCUUUAAAGAGCUGCUCCUUGAACUACUCCCAGGAUAUAAGGAAUUACAGCAGAUUAACUCCAUGUCAAGGCUGGAAUGAAUAACAAUGAACGAAUCAUGAAGACCUACCUCAGAAUCGUUUUGAAUCUCUUUCUUCCUCCUGAAUUUGAAUUGAAUAUAAUUGCUGAUUAUAUUUGAGACUGUCG